rfam:Epilithonimonas sp. FH1 contig06, whole genome shotgun sequence.
ACAUAGCCCCGAUUGCAGUGGAAAUCCUUUUUUUGGCUGAGCUGAGCGAUGGAAAAAAAGAUUGCAGCGGAAAGCGGGUUGAAAA